GAGUAUGAAGUAAAUUUAUUACACUUAGUUUCGGCCUAAGAUUUGGCUAUAAGUCAGCCCUUACUCU
rnacentral:tRNA from 1 species